UACGUAGGGUGCAAGCGUUAAUCGGAAUUACUGGGCGUAAAGCGAGCGCAGACGGUUACUUAAGCAGGAUGUGAAAUCCCCGGGCUCAACCUGGGAACUGCGUUCUGAACUGGGUGACUAGAGUGUGUCAGAGGGAGGUAGAAUUCCACGUGUAGCAGUGAAAUGCGUAGAGAUGUGGAGGAAUACCGAUGGCGAAGGCAGCCUCCUGGGAUAACACUGACGUUCAUGCUCGAAAGCGUGGGUAGCAAACAGG
rnacentral:rRNA from 1 species